CAGAGGCCGCGCCUACCCCAUCGCUCCGCCGCCGCCCGGACCCCCGGCCCCCAGCCCGCCCCGCGGCGUCUGCGGGGGCUCAGGCAGGUGCGCUGGGCUCCGCGUACUAGAGCCCGCCCUUUCAGCUGUUUCCUCGACGUGACCUGAAGUCACCCAGAACUAACUGGGGCGCCGGGUCCAGCGGUCGAGUGAGGAGCGCUGGGUCGCGGUCUGACCUGAUUGGUAACCAGGCAGCGGGGGAGGCUGGCGAGAGGUUCUAGAAGUCGCCUGAGAACUAUGCGCCAUCGGCUGCUCCCGCCCAAAGUCGUCUUGAGGAAUGCUGGCGGCGGAGUUGGACACCCCCGCUUUCCAUCAGGGAUGAACAAGUGACUUGGGAGGUAGUUUCCGCAUCCUGCCAUUUGCGUUGCAGGUCGAGGCUUCUGGACCAAACGAAGAGAAGAUGAAGAAAGCCCGAUGGAUGUGAAUACGCCCACGAGCAUCGCCCCAGCUCAGAACUGGGUCAAGGAGAGGCUACUCCUGGCAUCACGACAAAAACAAGAAGUCCAGGCCAGACCCGCAGACGGUGCCUUCUAACCUUAAUGCUGAUGCCAAGCCCAAGCACAGACUGUUCUACAACAGGGCACAAAGGGUGACUUGGGUUCCUAAUCAACUAAAAGUUAUUUUGAGGUUUCUGUUUAAAAUUUGAAAAUUUAGAAACACUGAACUUGCUUUGGUGGACUAGUAGAUGAAAGAAGUUUGCAGUUUUGUAAGGAGAAGAGAGAACAGGAUAUGUGAAGAGACUGUAUUUCAAGAAGAGCGAAUGCUGUAUGUCAUCUGCUUUGUUAAGAUAAUAAUGCUGCCCAGGAAGGGCGUGGUGAGUGAUAAGAUGAAUGGAUGUGUUUGUCAAAGGCCCUACAUAUUCGGCUUGUUUUGAACUCAAAUGAAUAGAUGAGGAAACUUUGUAGCAGUAUGAAGUUGUAGUGCUGGAGCAAUUGUCUGUCCACAUAGGAAAAAAAGUAUUACCUCUCAUUAUACACAAAAAUAGACUCUAGGUGAGUAAAGACAUAAAUGUAAAAGGCAAACUGGUAUAUUUUGAUAAAAUAUAGGACAGUGUGUCCAUGACGUUGAUGGAAUUUCAGAAAACAUAUUUUUAAAAAAUGACAUGUUAGUGGAAGAAAUUGGUAGAUUUAAUGAUGUUAUAAUUUUAAAACUUCUGUUAAACUAAAUGAAUUAAAGAUAAGGCACAAAUUUGGAAGAUAUAUUUACAAAGCAGAAUUUCCAAGAUAUUUAUUUCUAGCAUGUACAAAGAACUAAAAUGAACAAGAAAGAAUAACAACCUAAUAGAAAACUAGGAAAAGAAUAUGAAAAGACAAAGCUUCACUAGUCAUCAAGGAAAUGCAGAUUAAAACAAGAUAGUAUGUCACAUCCAUCAGAAUGACAGAAGUGUAGAAAAGUGUACCCUCGAUAAUAAGGGUGUCGAAAAAUAAGAAUUCUCUUAACACUGCUGGUAGAAUUGUACUACAACUGUUUGGGGGAGCAAUCAGGCAAUAUGUGGUAAAAGUGAAGAUGCACAUAUUCUAUAACACAGCACUUUUUAGACUUAGUAUUUACCCGAGAGAGAUGCCUGCAUGUGUGAACAAAUAAACAUAUACAAGUAUGUUCUUUGUAGCAUUCUCUUGUAAUAGUGAAAUAUUAAGUGCAACUUAAAUCAUUAUCAAUAAAAGAAUGAAUAACUUGUAUAAUUAAUUGAUAUUUAGAAUGCAUGAAAAUUAAUAAAUUGGAGCUGAUUAUCAACAGAGUUGGUGGUGCUAAUGGUAAAGAACCCACCUCGAUCCCUGGGUUCCCUGGAGGAGGAAAUGGCAACCCACUGCAAUAUUCUCGCUUGGAGAAUCCGGUGGAGAGAGGAGCCUAGUGGGCUACCAUCCAUGAUGUCGCCAAGAGACGGACACGACUGAAGCAGCUUGGCUUAUGGCACAUCAACAGAGUUAAAUUUCUACCAAUAAGAAAUAACAGAUAAGUUAUGCUGGUGUCCAGAGGCUUAUAUCAACUGCCUAAGCCAGAAUCUGUCUACAGAUCUUAAGAAAAACUAUGAGAUAUACAAGGAGUUUCAAAUAAAGUUACACAUGAUUUAUGCCUUUAACAAUACUUGGAGAUGGAGGGUACCACAAACAUCAAAUUAACAGAAAGACUGCCAAGUAGCAAACUCCAGCAAGUUUUCUCCACUGCUGCAAGACUCCAGAUGCUGAGAGGAGAAGAUGCAAGUCUUCCUCUUUGAAAACGAGGGAAGGGGAGCAAGUAAUUUAGACAAAAGCAUAGGCAAAAUCAAGCCCUGAAAGAAAAUGUCAAACAUGAAAUGCCAGGGUACUGAGCACAGGCUAGGUCUUGGAAGGCUGUGUGAGCCUGUGCUCAGGAGCUCAGUACUGUCUGACUCUGUGCAACCCUAUGAAUGUAGCCCGCCAGGCUCCUCUGUCCGUGGGGAUUCUCCAGACAAGAAUACUGGAGUGGGUUGCCAUUUCCUCCUCCAGGGGAUCUUCCCGACCCAGGGGUGGAACCUGUGUCUCCUGCAGCUCCUGCAUUGGCAGGUGGGUUCUUUAUGGCUGAAGCCCUAUGUCUGGGAAGCCCUCUUGGAGGGUUAGUACUGGCUGUCAGGAAGGAGCCAGAGAUGGCAACUUCAGAUAAGUAUUGCUUCUGAGGGCGAAGCAGCUGCUUUGACAAGCGGGUAGUGUCCCUUCAAGAGAGGACAGUGAAAGGAAAGAAGGAGAUAAGGGGGGAAAUGAAGAGAAAUAAGUCAUGGCAGUGACCCCACCUCACCCCCACAUACACCCAGUUGCCACCACUAAAACAUCUGUUGAAGGAAUUGCUAAGAAAAAGGAGAACAUCCAAGACACCAAAAAACCCAAGUGAAUCAAUCAUGAAGAAUGGGAAUGGACCCGAGAUAGCCUGAAUCCUCAAAUCUAUAACUCAGCUCAAGACCUGAUGGGAUUUACUAGGCUUUCAUGAUACCUGACAAAAGAAAGGAAGAGCUGUCACUGAUGGGAGAUAUUACCUGGAGACUCUACGGCUAAACACAAUGUCCAACAUAAAAUAUUAUUAAAAAUAUGAAGAAACAGAAAUAUGUAAUAGUAAUCUAAUAAGAAAGAUAAAAUAGACUCAUAGAUGACCCUGAUCCUGGAGUUAGCAGAAAAGGCCUUUAUUUUAUAUUGAAAUACAAUUGAUGUACAAGAGUAUGUUAGAUGUGAUCAAAGUGAUUUGAUAUUUGCAUACCUUAGGAAAUGUUCACCACAAUACCUCUAGUAACCAUCUGACUCCAUACAAAAAUUUAUUACAAUAAAAUGUUGUAUAUGA